GAACGACAACCUGAGCUGCCUGCUCUCAGCAGGACCCCCAGGAAGAGCAGCUGUCCCCCGCAGAAAAACAACUUCUCACAGCGGGCGAGAGGAACCGAGGGCAGAGAACGGUCGACAAGCCAACAGUAAAGAAGGAGAGGGGUUGUGCGCCAUCACAAAACUGAAGGGAGCCACUGUGCGAGCUAGAGGCAGAACGAUCACAACACAGAAAAGACUAUGCUGUCGAAGUCCACCAAAACUCACGUCCGACUCCAGGCAGUCCCGCUCGACAGCAGGGACAUUGCUGGGUGGAAGCAGGGAUCUCCCCAGCACUGGAGAACGGAUGUGUGAAGCCGGAAGUACCACAGCCUAUGGAGGGGAACUAGUGAUGUCAGUGGUGGCUCUGGAGACAGCGAGAACCGGCUACUGACAAAGACUGUGCCGUGACUUUGCUUGUGGGAAAUGCUCUCCAACAGGGACAAGCGCAAGCAGGAAAGACAACAAGGCACAGUACCUCAGGGCAAGCUCUAGAAAGUGGGACUGGCUAUGGCAGAAGCAGCAGGUCUCCAUUUCCGUAGAGACUGGCUACAGUGGAAGUGGAUGGUCUACUACGUUACUGUAGAGACUGAAGAGAACGCCCAAAGUAUCCAACGACAAGGAGGUGGGAAAGCGGCUCUCCUUGUUAUCCAGGGACUCCCGGUGGCUGGUAAAGGGAGGCCUGUGGUCCCCUGGGGCUCUGUGUGCGUCUGCACGGGGUCACUAUGCAUCACGACCUUCUUCCCAUGGUCACUCAGGGUAGAGAAGACAGUAGAGCCCGAGGCAGCCGGCCCAGACGAAAGCCGGGCUUCACCAGGAACCUGUGCGUCUUUGCUCACACUCUCUGCACCUCAGUCUCUUCAUCUGUGUACGGAGAGGAUGUGAGACACGCUGUAUGACUGAUGACUGCAGGCCCUGGUGACCCUGGCCUGCCUGAGUGAUGCCCAUCACCAGCCACACUGCACCUCGGCCGGCCCAUGAGUCACUGGGAUAUGAAGGUGACCCAGUGACUUCUGAGGCUCCAACAGAGAAACACGGAGUGUCUCCCUGCUCUUGCUCUGGGCCACCCACGCCUGUGACAUGGUGCACCCUGAUCUCCCUCUGCCCCACCGCCCUGUCCCACCCCUCACCCCGCCACCCCACCAUCCCAGGCACAGGCCCCCAACAGCACACCCCAGCGGAGCAGAAAGAACCAGGUGCCAGGGCUGAAGUCCAGGCUCACCCGACUCUCAGUUUAAUUUCCCUCCUCCAUUAUAACUUCUUGCUUGCUUGUCUCCCCAGAUGGCUGGAGGUGGGUGAAGGCUGUAACAGGUGGUACGCUAAUGAGGUCACUGACUAUAUUGAAGCCUGUCUCCAGGAACUGACACCAGCUGGGAGGCAGAUACAAAUAUGAAGAGCACCUGAGAGCUACAGCCCUAGUUACAGGUCAAGGAUUUGAUCUGGGGUCACCUAGCAGGCUCAGAGCACGAAGGUGUCUGCUGCAAACCUGACAGCCCGAGUUCAAUCCCUGGGACCCACACAGGCUGACGAGAACUGACUCCCUGAGUUCAAUCCCCGGGACCCACACGGGGCUGGCGAGAACUGACUCCCUGAGUUCAAUCCCCGGGACCCACACAGGCUGACGAGAACUGACUCCCUGAGUUCAAUCCCCGGGACCCACACAGGCUGACGAGAACUGACCCAGCAGGCCGGGACCCCCGCAGCCUGGCCUCUGCGCUCACACACAUAUAUGCAGAAAUACAAAAAUGUAAAUCAAAAAUUGUCUUUAUAUUAAAAACCCUGUGUGGCCAGUGCCUUGUCCAUCAUCCGAGGGACAGAACAGGAGGCAGUGGCCCUGGAACAGCAGUAUCCAGUCUUUGCAAAGAUCCAGAAAUCAGCACGAGACUCACAGAGAGAUUUCUGUCAUCUGUUCCAUCUGCAGAACCUGACCGCCGCUAGGCCAGGGCAAUCCACGAAGGGAAAGGGCAGAAACGGUGCCUAAUUUACGACUUUAGAAACCCCCCCACCCCACCCCAUUCUAAGGUUGUGACUUCUCGUUGA